AGAGUUUGAUCAUGGCUCAGAAUCAACGCUGGCGGCGCGCCUAACACAUGCAAGUCGAACGAGAAAGCAGGAGCAAUCUUGUGAGUAAAGUGGCGUACGGGUGAGUAACACGUGGAUCAUCUACCCUCUUGUGGGGGAUAACCCUGGGAAACCGGGGCUAAUACCGCAUAAGUCCGAGAGGAGAAAGCAGCAAUGCGCAGGAGGAGGAGUCCGCGGCCGAUUAGCUAGUUGGUAGGGUAAAAGCCUACCAAGGCAACGAUCGGUAGCCGGCCUGAGAGGGCACACGGCCACACUGGCACUGAAACACGGGCCAGACUCCUACGGGAGGCAGCAGUGGGGAAUCUUGCACAAUGGGGGCAACCCUGAUGCAGCGACGCCGCGUGAGCGAUGAAGCCCUUCGGGGUGUAAAGAUCUUUCAGAUGGGAAGAUAAUGACGGUACCAUCAGAAGAGG
rnacentral:rRNA from 1 species